AGACCUCAGGGAGUAGCCAACGGUCAAUGUCACCAGUCUAUCGGUUUCACGAGGACAGGACUUCUUAUGUUACCUUCAGUUCACAACUUUUGUUGUUGUAUGUACACCAGAUUGCACUGGGAAUGGAAAUAGUUCGGAAGUUGUAACGGCUAAAGUCGAGUUCCUAGAAGAUAACGAGAAGAGUAGAGUGACAAAGACCAAUACAUGGAAGAUCAAAAACCUACAAGAAAAUUUCGACGAGCCAUUUGACUCUAGUGAAGUGGGUCAAAGAGUACGUUGUUAUGGAGCCCAGACAAGCACUUCUACCCCGCUAGAGUGCUAGAAGUUGCUACCAAUAGAAUAGCUGCAACUGAGGCAGAACGCAUCCAAAAGAGGGCAAAAAGGACACUUACGUUGGGAUCUGAGG